rnacentral:rRNA from 1 species
AUUGAACGCUGGCGGCAGGCCUAACACAUGCAAGUCGAACGAGUGGCGGACGGGUGAGUAAUGUCUGGGAAACUGCCCGAUGGAGGGGGAUAACUACUGGAAACGGUAGCUAAUACCGCAUACCAUCGGAUGUGCCCAGAUGGGAUUAGCUAGUAGGUGGGGUAACGGCUCACCUAGGCGACGAUCCCUAGCUGGUCUGAGAGGAUGACCACGCACAUUGGAACUGGGACACGGCCCAGACUCAUACGGGAGGCAGCAGUGUGGAAUAGUGCGCAGUGGGCGGAAGCAUGAUGCAGCCAGGCCGGGUGUAUGGAGAAGGCCUUGGGGUUGUAAAGUACUUUCAGCGGGGAGGCGUUACACGCAGAAGAAGCACCGGCUAACUCCGUGCCAGCAGCCGCGGUAAUUC